AACACGACAAAGGCCCCCUUCUACUAGCUACCUGUCUCAUCAAAAUAAAUAUCUUCUCUAAUCUCUCUCCUCUGUGUGUUUUGGUGAGUCUAGCAAGCUACUUGUCAGUCAUAGAGGAAACAGACACAACUCCUAACAGAGAUGUCUGGUAGUCCCCUCUCCUGCUUCUCCAAACAGGGAAUACUCCUACUCUCUAUCCUCCACUAUGGGACCUGGGCUGAUGUCCCUCCAAAGGACGAGUAUGGGUUGAAGGGAGGUUCGGUGUGUCUGGCUGUUGCAAAACCACCUGAGGAAAUUAAAGGAUUUAGCUGGAAGGUCAAUAGUACUGUAAUAGUUGAUGAUAAAGAGAUCUCUCCUAAAUACAAGAAGAAGGUAGAUUAUAACCCAGUGAACCACACUCUGUGUAUUAAGAAUCUGACGGACACAGACAGUGGAAUUUACAUUGCAAAUACAAAGAAAAUAGAUUGGACAGAUUCAACGUCUUCAUACAAACUUAAGGUGUUGGGUGAGUUUUGUGAUUUGUUGUGUUUUGGUAGCCUGCUAUGUGUUUCUGCUUUGUUUCCAAAAGCUAAUCUCCUUUAAAGUGUCUUCACCAGUCAUACAGGUCAAAUGUAUCUUUCUGAACUGUGUUGGUUGUUGUAGAAGCUGUUCCCAUUCCAGCCAUGCAGGUGACAUACUACAAGUUAAGUACAGGACUUUGUAACAUCACAGUGAAUUGUUCAGGCUGGAUGUUUUCUGUCUGUGAUGGAGGUCAGUGCCCACUGUACCAGGAUUCUCUGUCAGUCUCUGAGGUCAACAUCACUGUUUCCAGUGGUAAUGGAUUCAUCCAGUGUAUCGUUAAGAAUCAUGUCAGCACAGAGGCCAAAUCACAACGAAUGAAGGACACAUGUAGGUUUAAUGAACUCCCUUCCACUUCCUGUGCAUUCGUCUAUCAUUAUAAAAAAUCAACAAAGUUUUAACACCAUUGCAGAUAUAUUUUUCUCCAGACAAAAUGUGAAUCAUGCUGUUUUUGUGUGUAUAUGUGUGUUUGUGUAUGUCAUGUAAAUGUGUAUGUGUUUAUGUGUGUGUGUGUGUGACAUCUCAGGUAUUGGUGAGAAGAAGGGGAUCGCUGCAGCAUCACUAGUUGGCAUCAUUGUAGGCAUUGUUACUGGUGGAUUAUUCUUAGUUGGUGUAGGAUGCAUCAUAUCAACCAGAAGAUGGCGAUCCCCUAAAGAAAACUGCCACUGAAGGCCGUUGUUCCAGAAGUUGACAACCCAGUGAGUGCUAUACCAGGAAGACCAGAACCACAGAACACCCCUGGAUCUGAGGUGACAUCCAUCUACAUUACUGCAGGCAGACCAGGAGCAGUACCAGCAUCAGCAGAAGGAGAAGAGGGCCAUCCAGGGGACAAGGAGUACACUUCACCAGAAGAGAGGAUAGAACCACAGUCCCCCCACAGGCAGAGACAUUCUACAGCACCCUACAGAUACAAGCUGCAGUACAGCGCCACCCAGUGGGCAAAGGAAAUAAUCUAAAGAAACCAGACACGGUGUACUGCACAAUAGGAUAUUACCCCUCCAUCCUUCUCAGAGACCCACUGAUGUUACUUUGAUAAAUAUUUAACCCAUAGACUCAGGUACCGAAUGCAAACACAGGGGAAAUUAUGAAGGAGAGAGAAUUCUGACAAAAACAUUUGUUUGUUUAUGUCUAAAUUCAUCCAAAUUCAAAGUGGCAAUCUGCGAUUGCUACGUACUUUUACAUGAAUUGUAUAUAACUAUUGAUUCCUGCAGAAUACAACAUAUGCUUGUUUAACUCCA